UGAGUAACGCGUAGGAAUAUACCUUAAAGAGGGGGACAACCUGGGGAAACUCAGGCUAAUACCGCAUAAUUUCCGAGGAAAAAAGCUAGGGACCUUCGGGCCUGGCGCUUUAAGAAUAGCCUGCGUACGAUUAGCUAGUUGGAGGGGUAAAGGCCCACCAAGGCGACGAUCGUUAGCUGGUCUGAGAGGAUGGUCAGCCACACUGGGACUGAGACACGGCCCAGACUCC
rnacentral:rRNA from 1 species